AUUGAACGAUGGCGGCAGGCCUAAUACAUGCAAGUAGAGCGAAGCGGCGGACGGGAGAGUAAUGCCUAGGAAUCUGCCUGGUAGUGGGGGAUAAAGUCCGGAAACGGGCGCUAAUACCGCAUACUAUCAGAUGAGCCUAGGUCGGAUUAGCUAGUGGGUGGGGUAAAGGCGUACAAAGGCGACGAUCCGUACCUGGGCUGAGAGGAGGAUCAGUCACAUGGGAACGUGGACACGGUCCAGACUCCUACGGGAGGCAGCAGUGGGGAAUAUUGGACAAUGGGCUAAAGCCUGAUCCAGCCAUGCCGCGUGUGUGAAGAAGGUCUUCGGAUUGUAAAGCACUUUAAGUUGGGAGGCGUUACCAACAGAAUAAGCACCGGCUAACUUCGUGCCAGCAGCCGCGGUAAUAC
rnacentral:rRNA from 1 species